rnacentral:lncRNA from 1 species
CACUCGAGUAGGAUCUAAAAUAUCUUCUCCUCACGAAUCUAUGCUCCAAAAAUCAGAUCUCUAUCUGAUUUAGAAGUACUUUAGAACUCCUUCUGAAGUUGGAGCAGCAGCCUGUCGAAGAUGUCCUGCAGCCUUCUGUUCCAAGCAUCACCACGCAUUGGAUCUCUGCCAGAUGGAUCUCUAACUCUUUGGACAUGAAGAGGGGAGGAAGGAGAGAAAGGAGGAUG